rnacentral:rRNA from 1 species
GAGGUUGAUCUUCGCUCACAUUGGAGGCUGGCGGCAGGCCUAACGCAUGCUUGUCGAGCGGUGGAGAGGAGCUUGCUUCUCUUGAGAGCGGCGGACGGGUGAGUAAUGCCUAGGAAUCUGCCUAGUGGUGGGGGAUAACGUUCGGAAACGGACGCUAAUACCGCAUACGUCCUACGGGAGAAAGCGGGGGAUCUUCGGACCUCGCGCCAUCAGAUGAGCCUAGGUCGGAUUAGCUAGUUGGUGAGGUAAUGGCUCACCAAGGCGACGAUCCGUAACUGGUCUGAGAGGAUGAUCAGUCACACUGGAACUGAGACACGGUCCAGACUCCUACGGGAGGCAGCAGUGGGGAAUAUUGGACAAUGGGCGAAAGCCUGAUCCAGCCAUGCCGCGUGUGUGAAGAAGGUCUUCGGAUUGUAAAGCACUUUAAGUUGGGAGGAAGGGUUGUAGGUUAAUACUCUGCAAUUUUGACGUUACCGACAGAAUAAGCACCGGCUAACUCUGUGCCAGCAGCCGCGGUAAUACAGAGGGUGCAAGCGUUAAUCGGAAUUACUGGGCGUAAAGCGUGCGCAGGCGGUUUUGUAAGUCUGAUGUGAAAUCCCCGGGCUCAACCUGGGAAUUGCAUUGGAGACUGCAAGGCUAGAAUCUGGCAGAGGGGGGUAGAAUUCCACGUGUAGCAGUGAAAUGCGUAGAUAUAGGAAGGAACACCAGUGGCGAAGGCGACUACCUGGACUGAUACUGACACUGAGGUGCGAAAGCGUGGGGAGCAAACAGGAUUAGAUACCCUGGUAGUCCACGCCGUAAACGAUGUCGACUAGCC